rnacentral:rRNA from 1 species
UAACACGUGAGUAACCUGCCCUUAACUCUGGGAUAAGCCUGGGAAACUGGGUCUAAUACCGGAUAUGACUCCUCAUCGCAUGGUGGGGGGUGGAAAGCUUUAUUGUGGUUUUGGAUGGACUCGCGGCCUAUCAGCUUGUUGGUGAGGUAAUGGCUCACCAAGGCGACGACGGGUAGCCGGCCUGAGAGGGUGACCGGCCACACUGGGACUGAGACACGGCCCAGACUCCUACGGGAGGCAGCAGUGGGGAAUAUUGCACAAUGGGCGCAAGCCUGAUGCAGCGACGCCGCGUGAGGGAUGACGGCCUUCGGGUUGUAAACCUCUUUCAGUAGGGAAGAAGCGAAAGUGACGGUACCUGCAGAAGAAGCGCCGGCUAACUACGUGCCAGCAGCCGCGGUAAUACGUAGGGCGCAAGCGUUAUCCGGAAUUAUUGGGCGUAAAGAGCUCGUAGGCGGUUUGUCGCGUCUGCCGUGAAAGUCCGGGGCUCAACUCCGGAUCUGCGGUGGGUACGGGCAGACUAGAGUGAUGUAGGGGAGACUGGAAUUCCUGGUGUAGCGGUGAAAUGCGCAGAUAUCAGGAGGAACACCGAUGGCGAAGGCAGGUCUCUGGGCAUUAACUGACGCUGAGGAGCGAAAGCAUGGGGAGCGAACAGGAUUAGAUACCCUGGUAGUCCAUGCCGUAAACGUUGGGCACUAGGUGUGGGGGACAUUCCACGUUUUCCGCGCCGUAGCUAACGCAUUAAGUGCCCCGCCUGGGGAGUACGGCCGCAAGGCUAAAACUCAAAGGAAUUGACGGGGGCCCGCACAAGCGGCGGAGCAUGCGGAUUAAUUCGAUGCAACGCGAAGAACCUUACCAAGGCUUGACAUGGGCCGGACCGGGCUGGAAACAGUCCUUCCCCUUUGGGGCCGGUUCACAGGUGGUGCAUGGUUGUCGUCAGCUCGUGUCGUGAGAUGUUGGGUUAAGUCCCGCAACGAGCGCAACCCUCGUUCCAUGUUGCCAGCGCGUAAUGGCGGGGACUCAUGGGAGACUGCCGGGGUCAACUCGGAGGAAGGUGGGGACGACGUCAAAUCAUCAUGCCCCUUAUGUCUUGGGCUUCACGCAUGCUACAAUGGCCGGUACAAAGGGUUGCGAUACUGUGAGGUGGAGCUAAUCCCAAAAAGCCGGUCUCAGUUCGGAUUGGGGUCUGCAACUCGACCCCAUGAAGUCGGAGUCGCUAGUAAUCGCAGAUCAGCAACGCUGCGGUGAAUACGUUCCCGGGCCUUGUACACACCGCCCGUCAAGUCACGAAAGUUGG